ensembl:snoRNA
GGCUUCCUGGACUUACUACAGGAUAUAUUCUUACCCUGACUAUAGAAAAUGGAGGCAUAGUAAACCUAUAGUAUAUACACUGCAGCCCAGCCCAGGCUCUGUGCCUGAUUUGUAUGGCAAAUUGGGAGACAUGG